CAGUGCGACCCUGAAGCGGGAAAUGCAGAUGACACACCCCGCCGCCCCUCAAGACCCAAACGUGCCUGGUCUUUACCUCUUUUCCUCCGUGGCCGCCUCGCUCCAGCGGCGUCUGCUCCGAGGAGCUGGUAUAACCCCCAGGAUGGCAGAAGUGAUCCAACCAGAGGAUUGCAUGAGGAUCUAGAAAAGAACCAUUUCCAAGGCACUGCCAAGAUUUAAGGAUGUCCCCUAAUGUCUGCAAGCAACAGGCACUGCAACCUUCAAAGAAUUUGGAAAUUUACAUUGCUCUUUUGUAGUAUUUUAUAAAAUACUACAAAGGGAUGAUGUCACUCUUCUGUGGGACUCCCCAUUCAUUGGCUCCCUGUGGGCUUUUUUAAAGUAAACAUUUUAUUUUAGGGCAAUUUUAGAUUUACAGAAUUAUUAUAAAGGCUUAUGUACCACACACCCAGUUUUUCCUAUUAACAUAUUAGUAUAGUACAUUUGUCACAAUUUAUGAACAAAUAUUGAUACAUUUUUAUCAAUGAAGUAUACACUAAAGUUUAUAAAGUUUAUAAACUAAAGUUUAUACUUCAUUCAGAGUUCCUUAGUUUUUACCUAAUGUCCUUGUUAGGAAACCACAUUACAUUUAGUUGUCAUGGCUCCUUGAGCUCCUCUUGUUUGUGACAGCUUCUUAGACCUUCCUUGUGUUUUCUGAGCCUGACAGUUUUGAGGAUCACCGGUCAGACAUUUUGGGAGGACAACCCAUAACGGUGCCAUUCUCAUCCCAUCAUAUGAACAAUACAAUCAGCCCGUCUUCUCCACUGGUGUCAACCCUGAUCACUUGGCUUCUCCACGGUCAAUGUGCUCCUUUUUUCCUCCUUUAUGUACUGUAGUCAUUGGAAGAAAGUCACUAUGUGUAGCCCCAACUUUAAUAGUGGGAGCUAUGUUCCACCUCAGGGGUGAAGCAUCUACAUAAAUUAUUUGAAUUUCUUCUGCACAGAAUGUUUGCCUAUUCUCUAUUUACUCAAUCAUUUGUUUAUAUCACUUUGAAUCUAUUUAUUUAAUAUUUUGUCUUAUGACUCAAUACUACUUUAUUCUGUUGCUCAGAUUGUUCCAACUUUGGCCAUUGGGCGAUCUUUCACUUGGCCACUGUAUCCAUUUGACAUUGUAGGUUUUCUUUCCUUUGUUUUGUUCUGUUUUUUUGAGUACGUUCUUACUUUCUGGCACUAUAAGAUGCUGCAGGAUCAUUUUGUAUAUAACUUGCCCCAGCCCUGGAAUCAGCCAUUUUUCCAAGGAGCCUCAGUUCCUUCCGUUGGAGAAUGGUACUAGAAACCAGGAUCUGGGUGUUAGAUGUGCUCAUUGCUUUCGGGGUGUCGUUGCUUCCUGGACUUCUCAGCCGACAGAGCAAGGAGGUAGGUCUUGGCAUGCCUCUGUGCUUUUGCACCUGUCGAUCCUUCUACCUGGAAUACCUUUUCUUCCCUUUUUCCUAGCAGAAUGUGUGUGUCCUUUUGGUUCCAAGAGCACUGGGAACUUACUUCUCAAUGUUACCUGUCGUUACAGUGCAAUUAUUUCUACACCAGGCUUUCUCCAGUCCUAGAUUAUGAGUUUCUCAAUGGGAAAGGUCAGGUCUUAUCUGUCUUCCAUAAUCCUCAUCCCCCACAUCCUUUGUGAGGACUGGUUAAGCAAGAUUUAAAAUGAUAUAUUUGUGAUUGUCUCUGAGUUCUUAAUAUAUCUGUUUGGGAAAGUAAGAGCCUCAUUCUGUCUCUGCCAGAGAAAGUUGGGUUGGCCUUACUUUGGGUGUUUUCAUACAAAUCCAAUUUAUUUUCCUGAAUGUGAGCUUUCAUCUACUUACCAAUUUCUCUUAUGUUACUCACAGAAUCACCUGGAGAGCUUUUUGCGACACGGAUUGCUGCGUCCCACCUCCAAAGUUUCUCAUUUAUCAGGUCUGGAGAAGGGCUUGAGAAUUUGCGUUCUAAAGAUUUCCAGGCAGUGCUACCACGAAAACACACUUUGGUCUAUACCAUGUGGUCUUAACUGUGGUUGUUUGGGACUUUUUUAAACACUUAUAAAGAGACUUUGAAGUUUUAGAUUUAUAGAAUUAUUAUGAAGACUUUGAUUAUAAGCCAAAGUGUAAAAUAAAUAUCUAUAAGUCCAAACUGACAUAAACAGAUGAGUGAACAAAGAGAGAACAGACGAACCUCCAAUGCAGAAGAAAUUCGAAUAACUUAUGUAGAUGUUGUUCUUGAUGAGAAAUUGAAGUGAGCCUUUUAAAAAUGUGAUUUGAAAGAACCAUGCAAAUCAGGAAAAAAUCUCCAGGAGCUAUUGAAAUGGCUAAAAUCCUGUCCAUUGAAAGCAAGCCAGGAGGAGGCAGGCAGGAGGCAGGGUGAAGUCCGGGGGCGGGGGUGGGGGUGCAUAGGGUUUUCACAGUGGGACUUUAAACGGGUGUUAUUUGACUUUUUUACCAAGAGGGUGUAUUCACAUAUUUACUGAGUAGUUAAGAAAAAUAUUAUAAAGAAUAUUAGCAUCUGAUCCUCAAGAAGAAUGCCAUUUUCUACUGCAAAGGCCAGAUGGAACACUUUAGUAGACGUCGUUUCCUUGGUUCUCACCUGAGGCCUGUCAAGGGACACUGGCCUCAGUCCGGAGACAUUUUUGUCACAACUCAGGCAGGAGAGAGCGGUGCUGCUGAUGUCAGGGCAGAGGCUGGGGAUGCUGCUAAACAUCCUGAAGCACAGGUUAGCCCCUACAUCAAAGAAUUAUGUGGCCCAAUGUUGACUUCAACUGUAACUGAAAGAAAAAGCUUAAUAGAAAUUAUUGUUCAAAAUAAAAAGAA